rnacentral:rRNA from 1 species
UGAACCAGCAACUUGUAGGAACGAAAAAUCGAAGUCAUGAGCGGUUACCAUGUUAAAAGAAUGAAUGUGGUGCAUUAUGCGAAUAGUUCGAAGUAAAUCUUGAUUAUGACAUAGUUUGCUUCAAGGUCUUGACCUACUCAUGUGCCAGCAGUCGCGGUAAGACAUGGAAGGCCAGCGUUAUUCAUCUUUAUUAGGUUUAAAGGGUACCUAGACAGUUAUAUUAGCUCUCUUUCUCUAAAGAUGAUUGUACUAGUAUUAACUAGAGUUAGAUGUAAGGAAUCCAGAUGAGUGAGUAGAGGGAUAAAAUCUGUUGAUACCACUGAAAACUGGUUUAGGUGAAGACAGAUUCUUAUGUAAUAACUGACGUUGAGGGACGAAGGCUCAAUAAAAAGCAACGGGAUUAGUUACCCCAGUACUAAGAGCAGACAAUGAUGAAUGCCAUAUGUAAGAAAGAGUUAUUUGUUAAAUUUUUAUUUAAGAAAUAAUCUUUUGUGUAUAAAUUAAAGUGGAAGCAUUCCACCUCAAGAGUAAUAUGGCAACAUAUAAACUGAAAUCACUAGGCAGUUUCUGGAAUUCGUAGUGAAGUAUGUUAUUUAAUUUGAUGACCCGCAAAGGACCUUACCACAGUGUGUAUAGUUAUAUAUGUAAAUAUAUUUCGGACAAGUGUUGCACGGCUGUCUGCAGUUGAUAUCGUGAGACCUGAUUAAUUUCAGAAAUCAACGUAAUCCCUGACUUUACUUAAAGUAAAGUACUAUUUUCGGCAUAUGAAUCCUUACCGAAUUUAAUACAUGGGAGUAGGACAAGUCAUCAUGGCCAAACAUAAAAAUUGAUAGUAUUGUGGGCGAUAGACGUGCCACUAUUAACCUAGACAAAAAGAUGCAUAAUCGUGAGAUUUAGCUAAUCUUAAAAAU